AGCAUAAGAGGGGAUUUUCUUUCUUCUGAGAGACUUCUCACUUCUAAUUGUGUCCAUGGAACAAGAGAUGAAGGGAAAUCUCUCCAAUGAGACACAGACAAUUACCUAGGAGAAAUUAGAUGCUUAUGGGCACUGGCUUUAGUCUGUGUUGAGUAAAAAUGGUAGGUAUACAGUUGGAAUGUUUAUUAACCCCUUCAUAACCAAGGUCAAAACAAACCUUAAUGCCCAAGCCCAAUUUUGCAACUUUGGCAUGUGUUAGUAUCAUUCCCUUGAAAAAGUCAGGUGACCAGUGACGCAACACGAGGGGCGGAGCCGCUGACAUCACUUCCGAUGUCUUGUUUACCCAGAAGAAGCGAUGAGGGGGCGAGCAGCAUUCAGCAUAAACUUACCAGUGUGAUUUAAACAAGAUGUUUAAAAUGUGAGUGGGUAUUUUUAUGUUUUAAUGAAGACGUACAUAUUUUAAGUGAUAUUGCACAAUGAAAUUCUCUCAUAUACUCUAAGCAACUUCUAAGAUGGGAUUUCCACUGUAAUACGCACUGCAGAGGAUCCAGGAUACAGCAGAUGUCCUUUCAUGACUGCUGAAGAUCUUUAAACCCAAGACGUGAUUAGACUCGUGGGGUCUUCUCCUAAGGUGAGCAGGCAAUUCACCCAGAGGUGGCAGUGAUGGUUAUUGGAUCACUUAUCAUAAAUUAUUUUGUGGCACAGAUUGGAGUGGGUCUUAUUGUGAAGAGGGAAUUCCAGCUCACAUAUUAUUUCAUUUUCACUUUAUUAUUUGAAAUUUGUAUUAUUGUGUGAUUUACAGUAUAUAUAAGGUUUUUAUGUUUAUAGCAAUAGGCUGACUAAUAAAUGGUGACCCGAUGGUUUUUGGGUAU